rnacentral:rRNA from 1 species
UACGUAGGGUGCGAGCGUUGUCCGGAAUUAUUGGGCGUAAAGGGCUCGUAGGCGGUUUGUCGCGUCGGGAGUGAAAACCUCGGGCUUAACUCGGGGCUUGCUUUCGAUACGGGCAGACUAGAGGUAUGCAGGGGAGAACGGAAUUCCUGGUGUAGCGGUGAAAUGCGCAGAUAUCAGGAGGAACACCUGAGGUGAAGACAGGUUGCUGGGCUGACACUGACACUGAGGCGCGAAAGCCAGGGGAGCAAACGGG